CACGUAGGGUGCGAGCGUUGUCCGGAAUUAUUGGGCGUAAAGAGCUCGUAGGCGGUGUGUCGCGUCGGCCGUGAAAACCUGCAGCUUAACUGUGGGCUUGCGGUCGAUACGGGCAUCACUGGAGUUCGGCAGGGGAGACUGGAAUUCCUGGUGUAGCAGUGAAAUGCGUAGAUAUCAGGAGGAACACCGAUGGCGAAGGCAGGUCUCUGGGCUGACACUGACGCUCAUGCACGAAAGCGUGGGGAGCAAACAGG
rnacentral:rRNA from 1 species